UCCGUAGGGUGCGAGCGUUGUCCGGAAUUAUUGGGCGUAAAGAGCUCGUAGGCGGUUUGUCGCGUCUGCUGUGAAAACUCGGGGCUCAACCCCGAGCUUGCAGUGGGUACGGGCAGACUAGAGUGCGGUAGGGGAGACUGGAAUUCCUGGUGUAGCGGUGGAAUGCGCAGAUAUCAGGAGGAACACCGGUGGCGAAGGCGGGUCUCUGGGCCGUAACUGACGCUGAGGAGCGAAAGCAUGGGGAGCGAACAGG
rnacentral:rRNA from 1 species